rnacentral:sRNA from 1 species
UGGCAGUGCCAUUCUCUCUGGCAUCACUGCGAAAGCUUAGUCAGCAAACGAAUUUCAUGCUUUUGCGUUGAGAGAGCUUUCAGAGUUUCACAAUUUGACGCGAAGCACAAUCAAAUCUCUUUGAGCUUGGGCAAGGGCAGUACCGGCAACUGGGGGAGGGAGGCCGGCUGGCACUGCGCAUCACGCUCUUCGCUCCCCGCCGCCGGUUGUCCCGCUCUUUUGCUCUCUCGCUCACCCCAUUGCCCUCCUCUUUGUAUACCUUCUAUACUUUUGCUGUGCUGGCAGUGCAAUUUGUGUUGCUACACUGCACGAAAAAAGAUGUGUUCUUGAAGCAUAAACUUCCAAAGCUUUUGAAUGCACAGCGAGAACUGGAUCCCAUUACAAAAUGUGGAGGAUUCUUUUCUAAAAUCUCGGUGCCAAGUACUGCGACCACGUACCUUAUGUUGUGAGUUCUGUGGAUCGAACUGCUGUAUCAUUAAAAUUGAUUUGGAUUCCUUUUCAAAGUCUGGGAAUCCCCUAUCAAAUUUUGUGGAUCGUACUUGAAAUUCGGUAUAAAUUAAAAGUCUUU